GCCAUGGUGGUCUAGCGGUUAGAAUGCUGGCCUUGUAAUCCUGGGGUCUCGGGUUCGAUUCCCGGCGGUGCCC
rnacentral:tRNA from 1 species